rnacentral:rRNA from 1 species
AUAAGCUGGCGGCAUGCCUACACAUGCAAGUCGAACGGUAACAGGCCCUUCGGGGUGCUGACGAGUGGCGGACGGGUGAGUAAUGCUUGGGAAUCUGCCCAGUAGUGGGGGACAACCCGGGGAAACCCGGGCUAAUACCGCAUACGUCCUACGGGAGAAAGCGGGGGAUCUUCGGACCUCGCGCUAUUGGAUGAGCCCAAGUCGGAUUAGCUAGUUGGUAGGGUAACGGCCUACCAAGGCGACGAUCCGUAGCUGGUCUGAGAGGACGAUCAGCCACACCGGAACUGAGACACGGUCCGGACUCCUACGGGAGGCAGCAGUGGGGAAUAUUGGACAAUGGGCGCAAGCCUGAUCCAGCAAUGCCGCGUGUGUGAAGAAGGCCUGCGGGUUGUAAAGCAUUUUCAGCAGAGAAGAACAGCGUGGGGCUAAUACUCCCGCGUCUUGACGUCACCUGCAGAAGAAGCACCGGCUAACUCCGUGCCAGCAGCCGCGGUAAUACGGAGGGUGCGAGCGUUAAUCGGAAUUACUGGGCGUAAAGCGCACGUAGGCGGCUUGGUAAGUCGAAUGUGAAAGCCCCGGGCUUAACCUGGGAACUGCAUCCGAAACUGCCUGGCUGGAGUAAGGGAGAGGGAAGCGGAAUUUCCGGUGUAGCGGUGAAAUGCGUAGAUAUCGGAAGGAACACCAGUGGCGAAGGCGGCUUCCUGGCCCAUUACUGACGCUGANGUGCGAAAGCGUGGGGAGCAAACAGGAUUAGAUACCCUGGUAGUCCACGCCGUAAACGAUGAGGACUAGAUGUUGG